rnacentral:rRNA from 1 species
GACGAACGUUGGCGGCGUGCUUAACACAUGCAAGUCGAGCGGUAAGGCCCUUUCGGGGGUACACGAGCGGCGAACGGGUGAGUAACACGUGGGUGACCUGCCCUCAGCUCUGGGAUAAGCCUGGGAAACCGGGUCUAAUACCGGAUAUGACUCCAUGACGCAUGUUGUGGGGUGGAAAGCCUUGUGCGGCUGAGGAUGGGCCCGCGGCCUAUCAGCUUGUUGGUGGGGUGANGGCCUACCAAGGCGACGACGGGUAGCCGGCCU